CAUGAUUACAAGGCUUUUUAACAGCCCCCAGAUCCCUUACUGCUGCAAAACUUCUCACAAGCGUUCUAUGCACUAGUCUGUUUAACAGUGUUGGUUUAAUUGCUUUACCUGUUUAUUAACCAACCCAAUCAUUUCGGGGAAUGCAAACCCUUCAAAUCGCUUUCUGAAACGUAUCUAGAGUAUCCCAUGUUGAUAUUCAGAGAAAGAUCUGCAGCGGGAUAAAAACUUGAGUUCUGAUGUUCAUCCCCUGACCCAAAUUGCUGUUGCCAGGAUAUGCGGUAGUAAUGCAGUGGUUUCUUUGAGACUCCAAGGAUGUACUUUACCCUAGAAAUAGGCAAUCUCUAGUAAAUCCCUUUUAGUGGCCGAGAUUUCUGCGGUAACAAUGCUCAACUGGAAGGUAUUUUAAACACCCGAAAGACGAGUUCUUCCAAUUUGGCCUUUAUUUUUUGCUCAAUAAUGCCUGCUAUCACGAGGACAUUUUUCCUUACAACAUUUGCAACUAAAGAAAGAAAAAGGCAGCUUGUGGCGCUAGUUAUCAAACGCUUAGGAAGUCCAUGAUCAUUACGCUUCUUAAAAAUCUUUCGAGGUAGGUGGGGGCCAACCUUACGUCGACCACAGUCCUACAACUUACGGCUUGCCAAGCAAAACUAACGGCCUAAUAACAACAACAACAACGUUCACGCCCGGAGAAAUCUCAAUGUUUGACCAACCAAGAAGGCGUCUGGUAACUAAAGCACCCUUUUCCAUGGGAAGAAAUGAAAAGACAAUGAAAGGGAUUCACCCUAGUGAGGAUGGACGAAGGACGACCCCAAGAAGAGCCGAGCGAGCAAAACCCAGGGGUUCGGAAGCGGUAGUCUCAGCAACACCCGCCCGAAGCCCUCCCAACCCACCCCUCUUUUCCCCCCAGGAGCCCGCCCGUCGCCUCCGCAGGCCGGGCGGACCCGAGGGGAGCACAGACCCCAGUGUGCGGUCGGGCUUCCGAAACCCGCCCAAGCAGGCCGAAGCCGCAAACCCGCGGCCUAAGUUUAACAGAUAAGAGAAUAAGAAGUGAGAGCAGACGCGGCCUCGCCUCAAGCUGGGAGGCCCCCUGAAGAAUUGGGAGGCGGGAGCAGAGCGAGCCGGUUCGUAAUCCGGAGCGGAGCCUGAAGGAAAAGAGCUGGGAGCGGGGGGUGAGGAGGUCCCGGCUCGGCCAGCGCCUUCCCGGAUGCUCGGCGACGCCCGUGUUUACCUGAAAGUCUCGGUCCUCGUUGAAGCGGGAGAAGCGGUCCGCCAUUUUGCCGCCUUCGCUCCUCUCAGGACGAAGCGCUCGGGUUCGCUCCUUCCCUCCCGCGACACCCGCCCCCUCGCUCGCCUCCCCAGUUCCCCGCCUCCUCCCACGCCCACCCGGCGCGCGCAGGCAGGGAGGGAGGAAACGAGAAGUCGCGUCCAGAAGGGAGCCCCUCCAGCGCAGGCGCCUUUCGGCCCUGGAGGCGGAACCUUCCCUUAAGUCCCCUCCACUCUCGCGGCCCAGAGCGACCCCGGCGGCCGCGCGUGCGCGUUCGCGCCCGAGAGCAGCAAGCGCUUCCGGAGAGAAAGGUCACGGGGGCACAAUGCGCUUGGGUCCGGAUGUUUUCCACCUGCUCGCUUCUACGCGCAUUUGGGAUGGUGAAACCAAGAGCUGCCUCUCUUUGGGCCCUGUGGACCCAGCUGUGUCUCCCAAGGAGUCCUGGGUACAAUGUGAGGGAGAGCAGACCCCUGCUGGCUACACGAGGGACUGUCCCGGGGCUCUUCCAAUGGCUCCUUCCCACUGCUCUUUCAGGGAAAGGGGCAGUGGGUGGCCAGGAGGACCUCACAGGCUUCUCAGGUCCAGAGACCCAAGCACCUCAGCAGCAAGAAGAGGCAAGAUCCCAGAACCACCUGGCGCCUCUGUCUACAGUCUCCUCCCUGGUUGUGAUGCGAGACCAGGCUCCAAGGAUAGGAGUUUUGAGAGUCCACUGAAGAUGGCACCAUCUUCCCACUGCCUGGCUGGAAGGAACAAUGCAGAUUUAUUGUACCCGUUCUGCAGAUAGAGAAACUGACACUCAGAGAAGCAAAAUGAUUCACUGAAGGCCAGAGAGGUAGUAAGUACCAAGGCCAGGACCUGAGCACUUUGGUCUCCCCGGGGCCGCUUCAUGGGUUCCCACCAUUAUAUCAAAUUUGUUUUUUACCUUCACUUCUCAGAUCGGGGAACAUAUUUACAAUUCAGUAUGGCUUCAAGAAAUUGGAUAAUCUUGCCAAAACUGGAGGAUGGAAACCUGGACCUAGAAACCUGGCUUGCUUACUUCUCCUCAGAGCUUAGCUUCUUGCCUCCCUAAAUAGAAAGGCCUUGUGAACACAGGGAGAAAACAGCCACCUGCAAGCCAGAGGAGAGACCUCAUUAGAACGCAACCAUGUGGCAACCUGAUCUGGGACCUUCAGAACAAAGACAAUAAAUUUCUGUUGUUUAAGCCAUUUGGUCUAUGGCAUUUGGUUUUGGCGUCCAAGCAGACGAAGACCACGGGGAAAUAGGUGCCUACCAAAUUGUUAGAUGGACUGGAAAAGCAGGACUUUAUAAUGAAGCCCCAGAAACGAUGGUCCAGUAGGAGCCCCUACCUCUGCCGCAGUCGGGGGGGAGGGAGAAUGAAGAGGCUACGGCUGGAACUAAUAUCAUGGAUGCAGCCCCAAAGCUCCACAGGAAUCGGUGCCAGGCUUCCACCACCGUCCCAGACACUGAACACUGUGGAUGCUGCCGCAGGAAGACCCCAUCUCCAGGGGCUGGCCUGCCAGCAGAAAUAGCAGAGCAACAAGAACGCGGUCUCAUCACCCUCCCAACUUUCAAGUCCCGAACAAUGCACUUUGCAUCCAGACCUUUAGCUGCGAGGAAAGCUAAGAGAUGAGUUUCUUGGCUUUCCAACCUCUGCAAGUGCUGGAAGGUACUAGAAGGAGGUGGGAAUGGAUGCUGGGGGCCGGUCCAUCUUGUCCACACACUGGGGCAGUGGGGGUAGAAGUUAAUGCUGGAAAGCUACGUUGGGGUUAGAGUUUGAAAGCUUGUUGAAUGAGUUUGGAGUGGGGGACGGGGCAAGACUGGGCAGCUGCCAAGAUGAAGCAAGGCUCUGAAAGCUAAUUGAGGGCUCUGGAAAGCAGGAAGCUCUGGCGUGUGCAUAAGAAUCACUUGGGGAUUAUCAAUUCUGAUCAGCGGCGGGACCCGGGAAUCUGUAUUUCUAAUAGGAAAAUCCUGCCCCAGUGCCCCUUCUUCUGUGAUUCUGAUGCAUGUGGACCCUAGGCUUUUAGGAACAUUGUCCUGGGACAGGAGCUCUGAUGGGCAAUUCCACAUAGUACAGUGAGCUCUGAAAAGGUUCCAUUUGUCUGGGGCACAGUUAGCCCAGUUAGCGCCUUCUUCUCCUUCCUGAGAGCUAGUUCUAAAGACCGGAUGCUUGAACCCUGAAAAGUACCAGUGAUAGUGGGAGUGCAGGGGCAGGGGGCUCUGCUGGAACCCAGGAGUCUAGGGAUUUAACGCAUCCCCCACCCCCGAAAAAAACCACCCAGGAAGAACUAGGUGGUCAGUCAGUGACAAGCACAAGCAUCUCUUGGAGCUGUGGCUCACUGGGUUCUCCCUGCAGCCCCCGGCACUGGUGUUCAGGACCUUUGGGACCCUAUUUUGAUAGCAGAGGUCAGACAGUGCCUUAAACCCUGGGGGGUUCAAGGAUUUGACAGAAAAGGAGCAAGCUGAAACAGAAACAGGGGACAGGAGAGGGAGGAGAGAGCUGGCUGGCCCUGCCAUCCAGAGUGGCCUGGAGUCCCCACUCGAAGCCAGUGUUGUCCAUAACCCACACUGAAU